GAACUGAAGAGUUUGAUCAUGGCUCAGAUUGAACGCUGGCGGCAGGCCUAACACAUGCAAGUCGAGCGAAUGAAGGGAGCUUGCUCCUGGAUUCAGCGGCGGACGGGUGAGUAAUGCCUAGGAAUCUGCCUGGUAGUGGGGGAUAACGUCCGGAAACGGGCGCUAAUACCGCAUACGUCCUGAGGGAGAAAGUGGGGGAUCUUCGGACCUCACGCUAUCAGAUGAGCCUAGGUCGGAUUAGCUAGUUGGUGGGGUAAAGGCCUACCAAGGCGACGAUCCGUAACUGGUCUGAGAGGAUGAUCAGUCACACUGGAACUGAGA
rnacentral:rRNA from 1 species